rnacentral:rRNA from 1 species
UACGGAGGAUCCAAGCGUUAUCCGGAUUUAUUGGGUUUAAAGGGAGCGUAGAUGGAUGUUUAAGUCAGUUGUGAAAGUUCGGGGCUCAACCCCGGAAUUGCAGUUGAUACUGUAUAUCUUGAGUACAGUUGAGGUAGGCGGAAUUCGUGGUGUAGCGGUGAAAUGCUUAGAUAUCACGAAGAACUCCGAUUGCGAAGGCAGCUUACUAAGCUGUAACUGACAUUGAGGCUCGAAAGUGUGGGUAUCAAAC